rnacentral:rRNA from 1 species
GAUGAACGCUGGCGGCGUGCCUAAUACAUGCAAGUCGAGCGAACGGACGAGAAGCUUGCUUCUCUGAUGUUAGCGGCGGACGGGUGAGUAACACGUGGAUAACCUACCUAUAAGACUGGGAUAACUUCGGGAAACCGGAGCUAAUACCGGAUAAUAUUUUGAACCGCAUGGUUCAAAAGUGAAAGACGGUCUUGCUGUCACUUAUAGAUGGAUCCGCGCUGCAUUAGCUAGUUGGUAAGGUAACGGCUUACCAAGGCAACGAUGCAUAGCCGACCUGAGAGGGUGAUCAGCCACACUGGAACUGAGACACGGUCCAGACUCCUACGGGAGGCAGCAAUAGGGAAUCUUCCGCAAUGGGCGAAAGCCUGACGGAGCAACGCCGCGUGAGUGAUGAAGGUCUUCGGAUCGUAAAACUCUGUUAUUAGGGAAGAACAUAUGUGUAAGUAACUGUGCACAUCUUGACGGUACCUAAUCAGAAAGCCACGGCUAACUACGUG